UUUUUUUGUUUUGUUUUGUUUUGUUUUUUACAGCGGCUCUAGGAAGAGCACACAAAAAGGCCACAUGCUAAAAAUCAAGACAGGAGCGAACCCUGGGGCCUGUGCCUCCCAACCCUCCAUGAAGGCACCGGGGCUGGCUGAGACCACCUGUGGGUACCCGGCCUGGCCUCCUCCCAUCUUGAUCAGGGACUGGGGAUGGCUUGUGAAACCAGUUUAUCGGUGGAGUCCUCCCAGGGGAAUGGGAGAGAGGGGCCAAGCAGGUGUCAAUCAGGCAAGGCGGGGGCACAGCCAUGACCAGCUGGGGCCCGUCACACCAGGGGCGCAGGAGUGUGGCUGCCCCAGCACUGGUCCCAUCUGGGACAGCAGGCUGCUGGCCACUGCUGCCCCACUCCUGGGGGUGGGAGUCACCUUCUGGGGAAAGAAACUCCCUUUCCCCCAAGGACGGGUCUCUAGGAAAUGGGAGAGCUGCCAGCCGUGGGCAGCCGGGGUUCACGGCCACUGGGGACGGAGGCAGUGAGGCACCGUGCACAGCGGCCGUGACACCUCCCUGACCACUGCCACUGGGACAUGGCACUCAGCAGGUUUUGCUUACGCAUUGAUUUCUCAGUUUGCAGCCCUCUCCCUGCUCUCUGGCCCUACCUAGAUUAUGAUGCCCCCGUGGAUGGGAAGGCACGGUCUCCAUCCCCUACACCCCAGCGUCUAGUGCAUGGUGAUGCUCGGUGCUUUGUUCUCGGCUGAAGAGGGGACAGCUGGCUCCCAUGGGGGACAGCAGGCGCUGGGGACCCUAUUCCUCCAGGCUGGUGCCUGUAACCAUGGCGACCACACGCACACCGGCCUCGGGCAGAGGGAGUAGAGGGCCGACCGAGCGGGAACCAUGAACUCAGAGCCAAGUCCUGCCCGGGCCUGGCUUGAUAUUUCCUACCUCUGUCCCCUCCCUGCCGCCCCCAUACCUGCCUGGACAAUGAGGAUGGAGAGCUUUUUGCGCUCUCACGGUGCCGGGCACCAUUCUGGGCACUCGCCACAUAUCCUACUCAUCUGAUCCUUAUAAAAACCCCAGCACACAGCUGCUGGCAGCACCCCUAUUAGCCAGAUGUGGAAACCAAGGCCCAGAGUGGCGAAGUCAUUUGCCCAAGGCCACGCAGCUGGAAGAGGCAGACCAGCGCUGGAUGCUGGUGGUGCGGCUCCAGGGCCCGGGCCCUCACCCUCGUUCCUCCACUGCUUUUCAUGCCCAGGGGCCUGUCCCAUCACUGCCCCCUCAGCUCCAAGCUCCCGUGACACAGGCUCAAGGCUUCCCACUGGGGACCUCUGCCCGUUUCUCUCUCGGCCCCUUGUCUGUGACCCGAGGCUGCCUCUGUGCUCCCGCUGCUCUGUGCUCCCGCUGCUCUGUGCUCCCACUGCCUCUGUGCUCCCGCUGUUCCCUGCUGCACUGGCUCCUUCUCAGUCGGCCUGGCGAGAGCCAACUCAGAGUCUGCUCCAACUCUUAGGGGCAUCCUCUGUGGGGACACAGGAGCUCCCAUCUACUGGCCUCCAUUGCAGUAACCCCUUUGUGUUUCUGUCACCCCCAGAGAAGCAGCUCCCUAAGGCUGGAGUCCUCAUCACUUCUAAGCCCAGGGCCCAGCACAUCUCCGUCCCUGCAAUAUGGGGAGGGGAGGCUCCACACCUGCAAAGCAGCCCCUGCCCCAAUCCAGAGAGCCCCAAGGCUGGGCCCAUGCCUGUCUUCAAGUCUGGCAGCAGCCUGUGGACAAACAUCACCAGCAGCCCCAUCCCUGCUAGUCACAGUCACCCCAGAACAAGGGCUAAGGACCACAGGGAGAGGAUCGAAGCCCCCAGCAGACGGCCUCGAGAUGGCCUCGAGGUGGCCCCAUCUCUCCCUGGCAUUGAUACAGAGUGAGUGGCCCAAAAGAGCGGCAGCUGCUCCCUUCCUGGGUGUGGCAUGCUGAACAACAGCCCCCAAAGCUGUCCACAUCCUGAUCCCCAGGACCUGGGAAUAUCUGCAAAAGGGACUUUGCAGAUGUGAUCAAGGAUUCUGAGAUGGGAUACGGUCCUGGGUCACUCAGGUGGGCCCGAUGUCAUCACAGCGUUCCAGGGCGUCAGAGUCGGAGAGAGGCCAGAAGAUGCUGUGUUGCUGGCUUUGAUGAGGAGGAAGGGGUCACAAGCCAAGGAGCAUGGGCCCCUCUAGGAACCAGAACAGGCACAGGAACUCUCUCUGAGCCUCCAGAAGGAACCAGCCCUGCCGACACUUUGAUUGUGGGACUCCUGACCUCCAGAGCUGGAACAUGACAACAAAUUCCUGCAGUUCGAAGCCACUCUGUGUUUGGUAACUGGCUGCAGCAGCCAUAAGAGACUACUAAGCUCUUAAGUGACUCGGGCCAAUGACUUCCCGUCUCUGGGCCCCCACGGCCUCCGCGUCUCUGAAGUGGGGAGAUAGGAG
ensembl:lncRNA